GCGCCUAACACAUGCAAGUCGAACGGAGCUGAGAGAAGCUUGCUUUUCUUAGCUUAGUGGCGAACGGGUGAGUAACGCGUGAGUAACCUGCCCUGGAGUGGGGGACAACAGUUGGAAACGACUGCUAAUACCGCAUAAGCCCACGGUGCCGCAUGGCACAGCGGGAAAAGGAUUUAUUCGCUCUAGGAUGGACUCGCGUCCAAUUAGCUAGUUGGUGAGGUAACGGCCCACCAAGGCGACGAUUGGUAGCCGGACUGAGAGGUCGAACGGCCACAUUGGGACUGAGACACGGCCCAGACUCCUACGGGAGGCAGCAGUGGGGGAUAUUGCACAAUGGGGGAAACCCUGAUGCAGCGACGCCGCGUGGAGGAAGAAGGUUUUCGGAUUGUAAACUCCUGUCGUUAGGGACGAUAAUGACGGUACCUAACAAGAAAGCACCGGCUAACUACGUGCCAGCAGCCGCGGUAAAACGUAGGGUGCAAGCGUUGUCCGGAAUUACUGGGUGUAAAGGGAGCGCAGGCGGACCGGCAAGUUGGGAGUGAAAUCCAUGGGCUCAACCCGUGAAUUGCUUUCAAAACUGCUGGCCUUGAGUAGUGCAGAGGUAGGUGGAAUUCCCGGUGUAGCGGUGGAAUGCGUAGAUAUCGGGAGGAACACCAGUGGCGAAGGCGACCUACUGGGCACCAACUGACGCUGAGGCUCGAAAGCAUGGGUAGCAAACAGGAUUAGAUACCCUGGUAGUCCAUGCCGUAAACGAUGAUUACUAGGUGUUGGAGGAUUGACCCCUUCAGUGCCGCAGUUUAACACAAUAAGUAAUCCACCUGGGGAGUACGACCCGCAAGGGUUGAAACUCAAAGGAAUUGACGGGGGCCCGCACAAGCAGUGGAGUAUGUGGUUUAAUUCGAAGCAACGCGAAGAACCUUACCAGGUCUUGACAUCCGAUGCAUAGUGCAGAGAUGCAUGAAGUCCUUCGGGACAUCGAGACAGGUGGUGCAUGGUUGUCGUCAGCUCGUGUCGUGAGAUGUUGGGUUAAGUCCCGCAACGAGCGCAACCCUUAUUGCCAGUUACUACGCAAGAGGACUCUGGCGAGACUGCCGUUGACAAAACGGAGGAAGGUGGGGAUGACGUCAAAUCAUCAUGCCCUUUAUGACCUGGGCUACACACGUACUACAAUGGCGUUUAACAAAGAGAAGGAAGACCGCGAGGUGGAGCAAAACUCAGAAACAACGUCUCAGUUCAGAUUGCAGGCUGCAACUCGCCUGCAUGAAGUCGGAAUUGCUAGUAAUCGCGGAUCAGCAUGCCGCGGUGAAUACGUUCCCGGGCCUUGCACACACCGCCCGUCA
rnacentral:rRNA from 1 species